rnacentral:lncRNA from 1 species
ACUGUCCUAGCCACCUUUUAUUUGAGGAGGAUUGUAAAACCAAAAUUCUCCUGCCUUACACAAUUCUGAUUCACACCCCGCUGAGGUACCAGAGGCCAACGUAAUUAAGGAAAGCUCUGCUGUGAUCACCAUUGUGCCUUGAAGCUGCCAACCCCUUCCUGCUGUAUUGGAUGAUUAUGAGCAGGAGCACAUAUCAAGAGCCAAGGCCUGGGAUCGCUAUCAGUGAGAAAGACCAACGCUUUGAAUGUGACAACCAAAAUUCUACCAGAGGGCAGCAUGGACAGCACCAACCUGACCAUCUUUUCUUAGGAAGCUUUUCCACAGAUGAAAGGAUAACCAGCAUCCUAGCUUUGACUGCUGAUGGUCUAGAAACACAGAGACAAUCAGCUCAGAAACCAUUCCCCUGCAUUCUCACCAUCAGUUCCUGGUAUGACAGCCUUUCUACAAACACUACUUGACUGAAGUUCGGAAAGGGAAAAUUAAUUUUCAGAAUCAUGGAGGACUGGUUCUAGGACUGAACUUCCCUGGUACGCUUGUGUGCCUCUCAUCACUCCUAUUGCAGUCUACCCCCUCCUCAGAAACAGGACAAGCUUACCGUUUCUUUCCUUCAGAAGUUCUGGUGUUAGUCUAUAGAUGAGCAACCACCGAACCCCGGGAAUCACCUCAUGUUAUGGAUGUCAUCAAGACCUUGCAGUCCGAAUUUCAGAGGAAUUUGGAUCCACCCUUUCAAGAGACAUCACAUGUUACAAAUUAACCACAUAGCAUGUAUAAGUGGAACACCCUUCAACCUGUAAUCAUGUUCUGGAUGGUCCUCUCAAA